ensembl:lncRNA
CUAAUAGCCAGAUCUCAAAGUUCCUUGGAACUCAGCUUUGCCAUUAUGGGAGAGUUUCCUGUGUGUAGGACCAUUGUUUAAGGGUCUCAGCUGUUGCCUCUCAGCUCCACUUGGGUCUUGUUCCAAUUUCCACUGCGAGAGCAGUGAUUUAUAGCCCCUACAGUUUGGCUUUGAAGGCAGGGGGAGGCUCGUGCUCUCCAGCUGAAGAGCCCUGCAGAGUAUUUCUGAGCUGGAGAGGCCAGCACAGCCCGUGCAGUUGUGGUUAAUGAGCCCCAUAACCUCACUGCCCACCAGGCAGCCCCGCUGAGCCACGAUGCCCAGUGGCUGAGCUCGUGGUGCCCACCAUAGUUAACUCACUCCCAAAAAAGGGCUUUUGUUUCCCACUAUGAGGUUCUCUCUCUUUUUCUCAGUUGCCAGGAGGAAUGACAUCAUGCACAUCUGUAUAUAGCUGCAAGAGGAAGGUGAAGGUCGGGGAGGAAGGCUCACACCUCCGCACUGGUGGGCUGACACCAGGCACCCACCUCCACCAGACGUGGCUGGAAAGCUGUGCCUGCAUGGAAACUCCUGGAUCAGGUUCUUCAAGGAUGGGCAUAGCCACCUGUAGUGGAAAUGCUGAGUCUUGGCUUAAACCAGUGAUUGAGCACCUGGUAGGAAGGCAGGCCACAGCAGGGGAGCUCAUUACAUGCACCUGAGUGACCAGAAGUGGUGAAGCCAGGAUCCACCCCUUCCCAGACCUCAUUUCAGGGUUGGCAGUGGAGGUGAGGGUAUCUCACUAGAGAUCCCUGCCUAUCAGAAGCCUUUUAAAGGUAAGCUGUCUUUUUUCCUUUAUUUCUACGUCCAGAGGUGCUGCAUUUAGGUUUAUUCUUAUUUGCUUCAGCCUAGGAUUGUGCCACCCUGUUCCUAUUGCUGUACUUUCCAUCACAUUAUAGUAUAUCAGCAUUACACCAGCUCCCCAUCAGCCCCACAGCAGCUGGGCAGGUGAAAAUACUGGGAACUGCAACCUGAAGAGGAAAAAGCUGGAGCUGGAGAUAUAGAAAGGAAAAAAAAAAAAACAGCAGUGUAAGCACUCAGCCUAGCUCCAACACUUUUAACACUUCAGCUUUAAUAGUAAAGUAGCUCUUACUUAUGUUAGGCGGAGGUUUAUUUAUUUUCAUAUAUGGCAUUUGAUGUAUUAUCACGCCUUUAGGAUCUGAGUCAAUGAGAUACCUCCACAGUGGGCUAAUUUUAAGGCAUCAUCUCCAAUUAACACUGAUCUCAAUCACAAGCUUUCCAAUAUAAGGUAGCUGGGUUAGAAAUGAUAAGAUUAUUAAUCAAAUGUUUCAUCUCAAGUUUGCUUUUAAGGAUCCGUGCCUCCAAGUGGGUUUUGUAUUCCCCUGAAGGCAUGAGAAUUGGAAAUAACUUCUACAAGCCAGCAACAAGGAGAGCAGAUACUCUACCCCCAAGUACCCCUGCUCCACAACUCUGGGCUUUUGUGAAACCUGGACAAGAUACCCAGAAAUUACAAAAGCUUUUGAACUUUUCCAGCUCACUAAAAAGAGCACAGAUGGGGAUUGUUUUUUUUUUCUCAGUUUCUAAAAUUAGUGAAAUUAGAUUCAAUUCCAAACCUGAUAAGCACUCUUCUUCAGCUCUGAUGUUUUUUCAUGACUGUUGUAGAGUUGCUGUUCUUUAAGAAGGCAGGAAAUUGAAUUGUGGUUGGUAUGUGAUGGACAUAGGUGUGCCUGUGCAUUUCUCUUGUUUGCACUGAGCAAAUGUUCAGCAAACAAGGAAAUGUUCUUUCCUUUCUUGGCUCAACCAAAGAGCUCAUGUCUCCCAGUCAUUCUUUAUCCCUUUAAUGCCAUGCAGAUGUCCUCCACGUUGGCUGAAGG